rnacentral:lncRNA from 1 species
AUGCAUGGUCUCUUUCUAUUCUCUUUCAGUGGAAAGCUAAAUAUGGCCCAGUACCUGCAGGGAUGCCUCACCUCCUCUACUUACACUCUGAGCCAUCCAGACACAGGUUACCUUUUGCCUGGGAACUAUACAGCCCCCUUCAUAUAUGUAGGUGUGUCAGGAGACCUUCCUAAGAUGACAGGUCAUUGGAGAGCACAUACAACAGAGAAAAUGGGACCAAGUUGACCUUCUCCAGCAACUUGAGCAGACUAUUUGGUGCAAGAAUGGAACUGGAUUGGACUUGGAAUCCAAUAAAUAUUGAGCUGGGUUUGUUCUAAUGUGCUUU